GGGGGCUUGGUGUAGUGGUCAAACACCUGGCUAGCUCACUUGUCGUCUGACGACAAUAGCUCGUUGGUUCGAAUCCAGCAGCCCUCC
rnacentral:tRNA from 1 species